rfam:TPA: Bos taurus chromosome 1, whole genome shotgun sequence.
UCCCUGGUGGUCCAGUGGUUAAGACUCUGCUUUCCAAUGCAGGGGACCCCAGUUCAAUCCCUGGUCAGGGAA